GACGAACGCUGGCGGCGUGCUUAACACAUGCAAGUCGAACGGAAAGGCCCUGCUUUUGUGGGGUGCUCGAGUGGUGAACGGGUGAGUAACAAGUGAGUAACCUGCCCUUGACUUUGGGAUAACUUCAGGAAACUGGGGCUAAUACCGGAUAGGAGCUCCUGCUGCAUGGUGGGGGUUGGAAAGUUUCGGCGGUUGGGGAUGGACUCGCGGCUUAUCAGCUUGUUGGUGGGGUAGUGGCUUACCAAGGCUUUGCCGGGUAGCCGGCCUGAGAGGGUGACCGGCCACAUUGGGACUGAGAGACGGCGCAGACUCCUACGGGAGGCAGCAGUGGGGAAUAUUGCACAAUGGGCGGAAGCCUGAUGCAGCAACGCCGCGUGCGGGAUGACGGCCUUCGGGUUGUAAACCGCUUUCGCCUGUGACGAAGCGUGAGUGACGGUAAUGGGUAAAGAAGCACCGGCUAACUACGUG
rnacentral:rRNA from 1 species